AAUGAACGCUGGCGGCAUGCCUAACACAUGCAAGUCGAACGAAGGCUUCGGCCUUAGUGGCGCACGGGUGCGUAACGCGUGGGAAUCUGCCCUCAGGUUCGGAAUAACAGCGAGAAAUUGCUGCUAAUACCGGAUGAUAUCGCGAGAUCAAAGAUUUAUCGCCUGAGGAUGAGCCCGCGCAGGAUUAGCUAGUUGGUGUGGUAAAGGCGCACCAAGGCGACGAUCCUUAGCUGGUCUGAGAGGAUGAUCAGCCACACUGGGACUGAGGCACGGCCCAGACUCCUACGGGAGGCAGCAGGGGGGAAUAUUGGACAAUGGGCGAAAGCUUGAUCCAGCAAUGCCGCGUGAGUGAUGAAGGCCUUAGGGUUGUAAAGCUCUUUUACCCGGGAUGAUAAUGACAGUACCGGGAGAAUAAGCUCCGGCUAACUCCGUGCCAGCCGCCGCCGUAA
rnacentral:rRNA from 1 species